CUACAAGUGCAACCUUAUGUCUGUAUCAGGUGUACUGCUCUAAAUUGCUUAAGCGAUCAGGUGUCCUGCUAUAUGGACCUCCAGGCACUGGGAAGACAUUACUUGUGAAAGCAGUAGCAACUGAGUGCUCAUUAAACUUUCUUAGCGUAAAAGGUCCAGAACUGAUAAACAUGUAUGUUGGAGAGUCAGAGAGGAAUAUCAGGGAGAUCUUUUAGAAGGCUAGAUCAGCACGCCCAUGAGUAAUUUUCUUCGAUGAGCUUGAUUCCCUUGCUCCUGCACGAGGGUCCUCUGCACAUUCUAGAGAUGUGAUGGAUAAAUGGUUUCUCAGCACAAAUGCCCGACGGAGAUGCAUAUGUUUGGCAUUCUAUCAGUAAACAUACACGUGCGCUGGCUUGCAAUACUACAUUUUGUGAUUGUGUAGUAUCCACACCACUACUAAUGCUUAAGUCUGUUGCCUUGCCGUGUAAUUGUGUCAUAUGCACACCAAUACUAAUGCUCUAUGAUAUCGCCUGAGAGCACGUGUUGUGCUUUGUAUCAUCUAAAAAAUGUAAACUCUGUAAUUAGAAACAGACUUUAGCACUGUGAUCCAGUAUGUAUUGA